rnacentral:rRNA from 1 species
GGGCCCACACAAGCGGCGGAGCAUGCGGAUUAAUUCGAUGCAACGCGAAGAACCUUACCAAGGCUUGACAUAUAGAGGAAAAGUGCAGAAAUGCACUCCCCGCAAGGUCUCUAUACAGGUGGUGCAUGGUUGUCGUCAGCUCGUGUCGUGAGAUGUUGGGUUAAGUCCCGCAACGAGCGCAACCCUCGUCCUAUGUUGCCAGCACGUAAUGGUGGGAACUCAUGGGAUACUGCCGGGGUCAACUCGGAGGAAGGUGGGGAUGACGUCAAAUCAUCAUGCCCCUUAUGUCUUGGGCUUCACGCAUGCUACAAUGGCCGGUACAGAGGGCUGCAAUACCGCAAGGUGGAGCGAAUCCCAAAAAGCCGGUCUCAGUUCGGAUUGAGGUCUGCAACUCGACUCCGUGAAGCUGGAAUC